AAUAGAUACCCGGGUAGUCCACGCCGUAAACGAUGGAUACUAGCUGUUGGAGGUAUCGACCCCUUCAGUAACGAAGCUAACGCGUUAAGUAUCCCGCCUGUGGAGUACGGUCGCAAGACUAAAACAUAAAGGAAUUGACGGGGACCCGCACAAGCGGUGGAGCGUGUUCCUUAAUUCGAUGAUAAACGAAGAACCUUACCAGGACUUGACAUCCCGAGAAUUUUGCCGAAAGGCGAGAGUGCUUUAUUGAACUCGGUGACAGGUGCUGCAUGGCCGUCGUCAGCUCGUGUCGUGAGAUGUUUGGUUAAGUCCAUUAACGAGCGCAACCCUUAUGAAUAGUUGUAUUUUUCUAUUCAGACUUGCCCCGGUAACGGGGUAGGAAGGAGGGGAUGAUGUCAGGUCAGUAUUGCCCUUACGUCCUGGGGCUAGAAACGCGCUACAAUGGCCGGUACAAUGCGCAGCCAACCGCAAGGGGAGCAAAUCGCAUCAAAGCCGGUCCCAGUUUGGAUAAGAGGCUGAAACUCGCCUCUUUGAAGUCGGAAUCGCUAGUAAUCGC
rnacentral:rRNA from 1 species